rnacentral:tRNA from 1 species
ACUUUAAUAAUUUAAAUAAAAAUAUUGGUCUUGUAAACCAAAAAUAAGCCCGCCUUUUAAAGUA